rnacentral:antisense_RNA from 1 species
UGAAUACUGAAGGGUUGGUAGGGGACCAGAGAAUAGAGGAAGCAUUGUAGGUUCUAGAGUGGAGAAGGGACCAUCCAAAAUGGAGUUUGAAAGAGAAUUCUGGCCUUUGUGUUUAGAGUCUGGAAUUGUCAAGAGUCUGAAAGCACAGAAUAAGACUGCAGCUAGAGCAAUUUAGGCGCCAUAGUUUGUCAAAACAGAGUGGGAGGCAUAACUGCUUUGCCUCCAGUCAUCAUCUGGGGGCAUAUCUACUCUUCGAGGACCAGGGGUUCGGGACCCUGGAAAAGGAUCUGAAUUCCAAGCUGACCUCAGGGGUACAUGAAGACUGCUAGAUGAGACGGGAUCUCACUGUGUUGCUCAGGCUGGUCUCGAACUGCUGGACUCAAGUCAUCCUCCCAUCUUGGCCUCCCAAAGUGCUGGAAUUACAGUGGACAACCUUCAAUGCACUGGUACUUUGUACCCUGACCUCUACUGUGAUGAACACUCAACUUGGGCAAGAAAGUGAAAUUCUCCAAAGCAAGGAGGAGGGUGCUCUGAAUAGAUGGACCCUGAUUCUACUUACAAAACUGUGGGAAGAAACCGGAGCUUCCUCCCUCUCUGAGACAACGGUGCCACUGAGACUGCGCCCAGCACCUUAGCACCUGAGGCUGCUACCUGAGAAGUACGCACUGUUCUGGCUUCAUGGAGACCAUGCUCCAUUUCUGCUGCUGAAGUCUUUGAGAGACCAGGAUCAUGGGCUGAGUGCAACCUCCUCCCCAUGCCAUCUGCAGA